rnacentral:SRP_RNA from 1 species
CGGGAGGUUGGCGGUGGACGAACCACUCGCCAACCGGGUCAGGUCCGGAAGGAAGCAGCCCCAACGAGCUUCGGCUCGGGUCACUCGUCGGCCUCCCACCCU